GCUGGUUGCUCAUUUAUGCAGCUGACAAGCAAAAUGGGUUCUUGGAAGUCAGUUACCAUUCAUUGCACUCUUGAGCUGGAACGUGCAUGGCUUUCCUGCUAAAGAUUGGGGCCUGCCUAAUCCCAAUGAUGGUGGGUUCUAUAACAUAGAGGCACAGCCUCUCCUCCAUUAUGAUUCCCUCCCAGGUGCCCCACCUGUUCCUGCUGAUCCAAAUGACCCUGCUGUGUCAUUCAUGCAUGACCCAGUAAGGUUGGGAACCUCUAGAGUUCAAACCUUGCCACCCAACUUCAGGGCAACUCCAGGUGGGCUUGGUGAACCUUCUGGUUUUGGUCCUGUGGAAGACUCUACACCUACCUUGUUGUCUGGAACAUCUCACCUGAGGCCUGAUUUUGGCUUUUCUCCAGCUCAGCUUGAAACGGGUCAACUUGGUCAUGAUGAAGGGAAUCUUGAUUAUAGUAACUCAGAAAGGGGAACCCAUGGGCUGGGCUCUACAACUUCCUUCCAGUCUGGUGCGUUGAGUAAGUAUGUAGCCACCUAUGAGCAUGGAAAUUCAGAGAGGGAAACGGAAGAUUAUUUCCCACCAGUGUUACAUGCCUAUCCUUUUGCUUUACCUGGAACUGUUUCGCAAUACUACCUCAGACCUGCACUACCUGUUGACUGGUUAGCACCUUUAUGGUACGGUUUCCACUAAGAUACAUCUGCAUUGCUCAAACCCAGGUUCCCAGUGGUCACAAGACUGUAAAAGUACUUUUGGUUCUUCAAAUAAUUGAAGCGUUCUAGGAUCUCUGUAAUUCAAUUCCCAGUUUCUGUAAAUUUUGGCAUAGUCAUGUUUGCCUGGCAUGAAACAGAAGAAAUAAAAUACUGCAUGAACACUUGA